AUGAGUAAUGGGCAAAGUUCCUAGGACACACUGUUGGUGGCAAAGCAGAAUUCAGAAUUCAAUUCAGAACUGUAGACUUCUACAGGGACUUAGAGAUCAUCAAUUCCAACCAUGUCAUUUUAGGCUAAGAAAAAAGGGUGAAUAACUUGCCUAUCAAAACUAGGAUUAGAACUCAGGUACUCUGUCUCCUGGAUUUAUUUCUUUCAACUCUACCAAAGGAAUGAUCUCACUUGGGUGAAACAGCCCCAGGAGGCUGAGUUUUAGAGUCCUACACGAAGAAACCUCAAACCCAGGAUUCCAGCCAAAAACAAUGAUUCUCAAGUUCCUAUGAAAUCCUGGAUGGAUGUUGAACUGGGCAACGUACAAGCUGACUCCCGUGGCAGAUGCAAGCCUCAACAGAGAUCCAGGGCGGACACUUCAAAGGGAGUGGAUGUGAUCAUGUGAGUCUGAGUCACACAAGAUACUCAUAUCUGCAGACCCACUGGCAAGUUUCCUUCUUGGGGAUUGCUUCUCGGCCGACUCACACGGCACAUCCUCAGAAUUGAUCAGCAAUCCAAGCUUCUGUGGAUCUCUUUGAAUGGCUCCAAUGAAAGAUCUUUGUCAUCACCAUCUGAAAUAGCCCAGAGUAACCUGCCGGAGGAUGGGAAAAUGCUUGGAAGAGAUCCCAGCUGUCCCAUUCAAGAUGAUUGUGGACCACCCUACAGUCAGCAACCAUCAAGCAUGUGAAAAAACCCGACCUAGAUAAGCACCCUGUCUGGCCUACAGCUAGCCAGAGAUGCAUCAUGAGCCUGGCCAAUAUCAGAAGAGCUGUCCAUCUGACCCAGAGGCAAUAAAUAAAAUUCCUGUAUUGGGCCACAAGAUUUAGGGUAGCUUGCUAUUUCACAGUGCUGAUACAUAAAGCAAAGUCCUUACUAUUUGUCCUCUGUUCGAGAGAAUCUGAAUAGACGAUUCUUACACAGAAGGUAACUCCAUGAUAUUUUGGCAGAUAAACCCUUGGCCACGCAGGUAAACACCUUUUGGUUUUACUGAUUUUUAUCAUGACCCCAUAACUCUCCCAACACUGGUGGACUGAGGCGAUGGCCAGAGAGAUAGUACAAAAUGAGAAGUAAAACCAAGCACUGAACAAUGUAAUAGUAAAUAAAAAUACAAAGUGACAUUAUGUAAAAGCAUUGCAAAA